rnacentral:rRNA from 1 species
AUGAACGCUGGCGGCGUGCCUAAUACCUGCAAGUCGCGCGAACGGACGAGAAGCUUGCUUCUCUGAUGUUAGCGGCGGACGGGUGAGUAACCCGUGGAUAACCUACCUAUAAGACUGGGAUAACUUCGGGAAACCGGAGCUAAUACCGGAAAAUAGUUUGUACCGCAUGGUUCAAAAGUGAAAGACGGUCUUGCUGUCACUUAUAGAUGGAUCCGCACUGCAUUAGCUAGUUGGUAAGGUAACGGCUUACCAAGGCAACGAUGCAUAGCCGACCUGAGAGGGUGAUCUGCCCCACUGGAGCUGAAACACGAUCCAGACUCCUACGGGGGGCAGCAGUAGGGAAUCUUCCGCAGUGGGCGAAAGCCUGACGGAGCAGCGCCGCGUGAGUGAUGAAGGUCUUCGGAUCGUAAAACUCUGUUAUUAGGGAAGAACAUAUGUGUAAGUAACUGUGCACAUCUUGACGGUACCUAAUCAGAAAGCCACGGCUAACUUCGUG